rnacentral:rRNA from 1 species
GACAGAGGGUGCAAACGUUGUUCGGAAUUACUGGGCGUAAAGCGCAUGUAGGCGGCUUGGCAAGUCGGGUGUGAAAGCCCUGGGCUCAACCUAGGAAGUGCACUCGAAACUGCUUGGCUGGAGUGCUGGAGAGGGAAGCGGAAUUCUCGGUGUAGAGGUGAAAUUCGUAGAUAUCGAGAGGAACACCGGUGGCGAAGGCGGCUUCCUGGACAGUGACUGACGCUGAGGAGCGAAAGCGUGGGGAGCGAACAGG